rnacentral:rRNA from 1 species
UACAGAGGUCUCAAGCGUUGUUCGGAUUCAUUGGGCGUAAAGGGUGCGUAGGUGGCGCCGUAAGUCGGAUGUGAAAUUUCGGAGCUUAACUCCGAAACUGCAUUCGAUACUGCGGUGCUUGAGGACUGGAGAGGAGACUGGGAUUCAUGGUGUAGCAGUGAAAUGCGUAGAGAUCAUGAGGAAGACCAGUGGCGAAGGCGGGUCUCUGGACAGUUCCUGACACUGAGGCACGAAGGCCAGGGGAGCAAACGGG